rnacentral:rRNA from 1 species
AACGAACGCUGGCGGCGUGCUUAACACAUGCAAGUCGAACGCGAAAGGGGCUCGGUCCUGAGUAAAGUGGCGCACGGGUGAGUAACGCGUAGAUAACCUGUCUUCAUGUCUGGAAUAAUACGCCGAAAGGGGUACUAAUACCGGAUAUUCUUGCUUUUCAUAAGUUAUGCAAGCAAAGGUGGCCUCUGCAUAUGCUACUGCAUGAAGAGGGGUCUGCGUACCAUUAGCUAGUAGGUGGGGUAAUGGCCUACCUAGGCGACGAUGGUUAGCGGGUCUGAGAGGAUGAUCCGCCACACUGGCACUGGAACACGGGCCAGACUCCUACGGGAGGCAGCAGUGAGGAAUAUUGCGCAAUGGGGGAAACCCUGACGCAGCGACGCCGCGUGAGUGAAGGAAGGCCUUCGGGUCGUAAAGCUCUGUCAAGAGGAAAGAAGUGUACAAUGGCUAAUACCUGUUGUAUUUGACGGUACCUCUAAAGGAAGCACCGGCUAACUCCGUGCCAGCAGCGGC